rnacentral:rRNA from 2 species
UUGGUAGUCCCCGCUGUAAACGAUGAGUACUAGCUGUUGGAGUCGGUGUAAAGGCUCUAGUGGCGCAGCUAACGCGAUAAGUACUCCGCCUGGGGACUACGGCCGCAAGGCUAAAACUCAAAGGAAUUGACGGGGACCCGCACAAGCGGUGGAGCAUGUGGUUUAAUUCGAUGCAACGCGAAGAACCUUACCUGGUCUUGACAUCCUGCGAGCUUUCUAGAGAUAGAUUGGUGCCUUCAGGAACGCAGUGACAGGUGCUGCACGGCGUCUCGCU